AUAUAAGUCACAAAUCAAAAACUUCCGACAUGUUUCUUAUUAAUCAUGUUGAAAUUUAAGGUUAUGUUUGGUGUACACGAACUUUGCAACGUUGCCAAAAUAGUCAAAUAAUACGCAGGGGUACCGCCCAAUGAGCGGUAAAAUCAAACGAUAAAAUCACGAAUGCAUUCGACCGAUUGAACCAACAUGCAAAAGCAAAGUCAUCUAUAGAGCUCUGUGACAAUAAGUAAUAAAUAGUUCUCAAAUAAAUUGAGAAUGCUAGCAAUUUCUCCUCCAAUCUCUGUCGCCGUAAAGGUUGAAAUGAGUGGAAAAAGGGGGAAAAUUGGAAACACUUUCAACACCCGAGAACGUCAGGGUACCACGCGAAGUCCGCCAACUGUAUCGAUUUUUAGUCGUGUGCCCGCGCUCGUCUCAACACUAUAUGGCUGAGAUACGCGAAAAAAGUGGAUGUUGUUUUCGUUGAAUAUGAAUCUGAUUUUAAUCGAAUGGCUGUUCGUUUUAAUAUGUAACUGUGCUCUAGUUAAUUCAAUUUAUUACACAGGUUUAAGCGGCCUCGGGGGGUUGAGCGAGGAGGACCGGAUAGUAGCCAAGCUCGCGAAUAUCAUCAAAGAACGGGAGGAGAGAUGGUCGUCGACGUCCGACUCGGAUCCCGAGGGCGGGGAGAGGAGAGGAGAGGGGGAGAAGGAGCGAGAGAGGGGCAGGAAACCGGGCCUCCUCUUCUCCUACCACUUCCCUAACCAAUCGCCCGAGAACAACGAGUCCCCUUUCGCCGUGCCCCCGACGGAUCCCAGAUAUCAUCAAAAUUUAGCUCCUGAUGCGUUGGCCCCGCAGUCCGAAUCGUCAGCGAGCAGGGGGUCUCAAAGAAACUACGUUGUAGACACUCAAAGCUAUGAGACUCCAAUUUCAAGAAACCCAAAUUCAGCGAAAACACGCCUUGCACACACCUUUGAGGACAGCCCGUACAGCGAGGGAAACAAAUACUCAUCGAAGGAAUCGGUUCCAAUGAGUAACAUGGGGCAGUUCUCUAGUAAAUCUUCGGACGAUGAAGAUGACGAAGAAAAUGAAGGUUCCAUGGACCAAAGGAGAGCCCGUCGGAACCGUCGCCCCCGGCCCGCUUCUACCAAUUCGAGAGGGUCAUCAAAACCCCACUAUUUCUAUCGACAGAAAACUGGGAUAGUAACGACAUGUAUUACAUGGGUAAGUGUCAACCUGUCACGGGUAUUUCUCUUCCCGUCUCCCCGUCUCCUGGCCAGAUGACUGCUUCGACACAGUCGCCAGUUUUCCCUGAAAAUC
rnacentral:lncRNA from 1 species